AUAUGUAUAUAAGUUAUCUUUUAGGUAAAUAUUUAGGUUUUUAAGUUUAAUUUAUUAGUAUUUAUGUUUUAUCUAUGUUCAUUCUAUGUACUGUGCUUGCGCCUAUUAGUCCCGAAUAAAAGUAUAUAU